UCCAUCAGACUACUACCUUCAGUCAUUCUUCCCAGUCGCUCCCAAAAUGGAGCAGUGAAAGUCCACACUUCUGACUCAGCCGUCCUCCACGGUACCAUGUGGCCCUCCUCCGCCGUCGGCCUCUGGGCGCUGUGCGUGGUGGUGGUUCUGGCGACUGCGUCCUCCGCCGCACCAAUCAUCGGCCUAGACUCUUUCCUCAGCCAGCAAUCCCGCAGCGACCCUCAUGCUUCGAACGACUCCUUCCUCUCCCUUCCUUCCUCCAUAAAAGGCCCUCUAUCCCUCCUCUCCGACAUCUCCCCCUCCUCCCUCCUCUCCCUCUCCCUCCCCAUCUCCCUCACUCUCCACCUCCUCGGCGACUUCCCCCCCGACGCCCACUCCCUCCUCUCCGACUUCCUCUCCGCCGCCGCCCCCACCGCCUUCCAAGUCAUCACCCCCUUCGACUCCCACCCCCUCUCCCACUCCCUCUUCCUCUCCCACACCCUCCACCUCGACAUAACCCCCUCCCGAUCCCUCUCCUCCCUCUCCUCUCUCCUCACCCAAACCCUAACCUCAAGCAUUCGCUCUACCCCUUCCUCUCUCCGUUCCCCUCUCCUCACCAUUCCCCACUCCACCGUCGACGACAUAAUCCAAGACCACUUCCGCAAGCAAAACCCCAACCCCAACCCUAACCACGUCCACCUCUACCUCCUCAACCUCCCUCCCCUAUCUGAUCCCAAACCCUACGCCUACACCUACUCCCCCGGAGAAUCCUCCCCCGCCUUCACCAAAUGCUCCGGCACCUUCUUCACCUCCGGAGAUCGCUACUUCUGGAUCGACCUCCGCGCCGGUCCGGUUGACUACGGCCCCGCAAUCUCCGGUGAUGGCGUCAUCCCCCGCGGCGAGUUUCACCCCCUCGCCGCCGUCCACGGCCGUCCCAAAUCAAGCAAGGCCUUCGCCGCUGACCUCGCCUCCCUCAUCUGGAGCGCCUACAAUGUCUUCCUCGCUCCCUCCCUCCGGAUACCUGUUCCGUUCGAGAAUUCCCUCACCGUCCAGUUCAUCCACAUCCAUAGCGAUUUCGAUAGCACGGGUAGCUCCGGCCUCGAUUGGAAAUUGAUCGAGAAGAGCCUUAGGUUUGAGACUGAUAACAGUAAUAAUGGAUUGUUGUUAGGAGAUCAGAGGUUGAGUUUUAAGAAUUAUGGAAUUAGGUUUUCAGAGUGUUCGAUUUGCUCGUUUGCUAUUGCGAGGUCGAUUAAUUCGUAUACCUCUAGGUUUUUGUUUGAUAAUUAUACUUUGAUUGUGAGUGAGUAUUUGGAUUCGAAACGGUUGCACCAGAUUUUGUUAGAUUCUGGUGAUGAGUUGAGGAAGCUGGCUGGCGUUCCGGAGGAGGAUUUUGGUAGGGUUGUGCCUGUGUAUGUUUUUGACUUGGAUUACACUUCGUUGUUGUUGCUCGACCGGUAUCAUCAGUCGGUGGCGUUUAAGGACAUGGUGAUUGCAGUUAGGACGAAGAACACGCAGACUGUGAGUGAUUAUAGUUGCAAUGGAAGGCAUGUGUUCACGCAGACCAGGGAGCUUGAGCGCCCGAUUGUUGGGUCGAUUCUGCAGAGCAUGUGGGGGGUGUCGCCGACGCAUUUGAAUUGGAGCCCCCAGCAUAAUGAGACUUUGGUGGAUUAUACAUGGAGUAUGGGGCAGACGCCAUUUGGACCAUUUUCUGAGAUGUUGAGUUUGUCCUUUGUGCAGAAGGAUGCUGCUAGGAGGAAUGUUCUGUUGACGUCGCUGAAUUACAGCAUAACCAGUGCGAUUGAUGUUCUUCAGAGCGUCGAGACUCAUGGUGGGGCAAAGAAUCUGCUGAAGCAGAAGCAGCAUGUGGAGUUUGUCCAGAGGUGGAACUUUUUCAAGUACAAGCUGAACAAGGCUGUUUCUGCGAUGUCGCAUUUGGAUUUUGAGAAGGCUCUGUUUUACUUGAGGUCUUCUGAUCAUGAUCUGUAUGCCAUUCAUUCCAUCGUCUAUCACGCCUCGCAGGAAAUAGAGGCCUCCCUUGAGUGCUUCGACGAUCCUCCCUUUCCCUGGGGUUCCGUGUCAGUUUCUGCGUCCGCUUUCCUUGCUCUCUCCUAUGUUUAUGCAAGACGGGACAAACUUUUCAGGAACAAAAGGAAGCAAUUUUGAUGCUCUUGCUAGAGGAGGACAGAACGGAAGUUUGUAUGAUUUUAAGAAAACACAAAAAACAGAACAUGUAUUCAUUGUACAAGAGAGGCAUGGUCCUUGCAGGAAUUGCAGCAUCCAACUCAUGAAGAAACAACAAGAGAUUAUACCAGACCAUGCUCUGGAGGAAAAUAACCUGUGGCAGGAGAAGAGAAGCUUCAUCCCUGUACAUGGCCUUCAUGAGAGGAA